CUCAUUUCAGACCUUUGGAGUGUUGAUUCAGACAAGGGGGAGAAGACGCAAACCCCUCUUCUUUGGCUUAGAAGAUUAUGCAUCUCCGACUUCAAAAGCUGUUUGCAAUUUUAUACUCACAUCUCACUGCCAAGCUUUCUGACCCUGGGCAAGACAAAGCUUCCGUGACUUCCAGUUUCCUCCCCUGUCAAAUCUGUGAUAGUACCUGCCCUUCUCACGCCACAAGGUUUUUGGGACGCUCAAAGGAGAUCAGGCUGCAAACAGCAUCAUAAUUGUCUGUGUACCUCCCAGAUAUGCUGAGGAAGCGGCUGGUAUUCCAUCCCAUGAGAACAGUUCGUGCCUACACGUGGCAGAGGUGCAGGAGGAGAGCAGGAAGGGAGGGAAUGCCUGUGACCCAUUCCCAUUGAUCUCUGUCAUCCGAGCUGACAGAUAACUGGCGUGUUGGCUGAGAAGACCUUGGAGAAAGAAGAAAAUUUUAAAUUUUAAUUAAGAAAAGGAAUUCCUUCUCACUCAAGGGUCAAAAGAAAGAAAUGGGAACUUUGGAAGUUCUGGUGCUGGUGUCGGCAUCUUGUCAGAAGACACGGACCAGCCUGCCUUAGAGCUCCCUACCGUGGGGGUGCUCGUCCUAAUUUGAGCUCAGCAAAGGAGCCUGAGAAACAGUCAUAGCCUCUGCCCAGCAGGAGCAACUCCGUCUCUGGAUGCUUCAGGAUUAACUGGGGAGAGCUGUGGUUCUGGAUGCUGGCAUGGCUUCAGCGCUCACAGAGCAGAGAUGGGGGCAGAGUUAAGAGUUCUCGCUACUGUAGGAAUCCCGAUUUAUUAGCAAGGAAUAUGAGUACAGGAGGUCUUUUUCUUUCAGCAGAAGCCAAGGCCUCCAAAUCCUGCCUGUAGGAACCAUAUAUAAGCUGAGUCUGUAUUCUUUUUUCUGCUUUCUCCUUCAAUCUGACUUCGUUUGAAAAAAUAGACACAUGUGCCCACAGGAGAGAAAGGAGGAAUUCUAGCAUUCGGUGUGUGCAUAUGCGUGUGUGUGUAAAUGUCCUAAACCAGGGCUUGCAAACUGGUAGCCUGGCCGUGAACCUGGCCCUCAGAAAUGCUUUGUCUCGGUGGUGCUGUGUCCACUUUUCUGCAGGUCCCUAUUUCCUCACACCUUGGAUUUUUACAAUUUAUAAUGCUGGUCAUGAAGGUGUCAGGGUUUGGGACCUAUGGGUUAAACCUUUGUCUGCUUUGCACUUUCAGAGAUCUUGUGUAAGUGAAAAAUACCAAACCCAAAACGCUGUGACAUGAGACUAUAGUGUUCAUUUCUCUGAGGCAGCGUAUCAUUUUAUAGCUUUUAAUUUCCCUAAUAAGGGGUACACUAGUUGCAGCAAAUGAAUCCUCAAGUUCCAGAUACUCCAGGACAUGUUCUGACUCAAACGCUGAGGGAUUUUAAUGUUUUGCUUUAUUUUGUUUUGUUUUCAGGUUGGGAGUGAGAGGAAAUUCAGGGACACACAAGAAGGCAAGAGGGCAGGAAUGAUUGAUGGCCACAGAAAGUCCUGACAAAUUUGUAGUCAAUAUUGUUUGUCUAGAGCAGCUUGUAUGACAAAAGAAGUGUCAGCAGCCGCCUGAAGUCUCAUUCUUCAGGAUCCGGCCUCUGAGUCGGAAUCGGGGGCUUGACUGAAAUGCCUGUCAUGGUUAAUUGGAAAAAUCACUCCAGAUGAGUGAGGGGGCCUGACAGUUAUGCAUUACAGGGAGAAUCGAGUGUGUCCUACAAGGGUGAUACAGGCACCAAAAGUGACUGGCUCUAGUGUUCCCCUAAUUAGGAAGGCCACUGGAAGGAUACAACCCAAGAAAAGAAGGAGUGGAUUAUUUCAGAUUUGUACAUGCUUGUAAAGACUUCCAGCCCCAUUAGCUUCAUUGUCACACCCAAUCUUUGCCCCAAGUUCCUUUCUUUUCUUAGGUUUUUGUUCUGUUCUUGCUGUCUAAUGACUCCAUGGCACGGGGACCAGGGACAAUUUCAGAGAGCAUAUGAUGGAGGAGAGGAAAUAAUAGACUGUUCUUCUCUUCUCUUUUUCAUGGGAGUGUUUGCCUGCUUGUGUGGAACAGGUCACGAACACUUCCAGCCAUUGCUCCGGUGCUCAACAGCCCAAGCUCACUUUGUCACUUAGUAAUUUGUUUAUCUGUCCACAUUUCUCACCCUCGGAUGCUGUGGCCUCUGAGAGAGCUGUGGUUUCCCAUCCAGAUGAGGUCUGAGAGCUUACGAUCCCAUAAGGGCUGGAGAGUUUGGUGGGUAACUGCUUCUCGGAGCUCCCAGGCCCUGCUGUCUCAGGACCAUCACCACUGACAUUGGGACAUGUGGGUGCAAGUUGUCGUGGGCCUCCUCAGUUUCACUGUCACCUUUGUGCCAUGGGUCCCAGCGUUGUUCUCUGGAGCCCCAUACAUUCUUGAGGAGUAGAGGACAGCUUUCUGGCUUGAGGCUUCUGAGCCUGUUUGGCCCCCAAGGCUUCAGCCAUCAAGCAUAAAGUAGGCAUCACUUGUGUUGUCCCUUGGUGACGUGUGGAGGCUGGCGGCAUUUUAUGAAAAAGAUGUGGCUGUGAAGACUUUGCACAAUUCAAAACUUGCAUCAUGUAGGCAACAGCCUCAACUCAGUUUUACAAUUUGUUUUGUUGUAAACAAUUCAUUUGGCUUCCAAUUUUGAAAUUACGUGAUCCUUGUAAAUAACUUAAAUUGGGGGGAUUUACAUUACUUCAAAUUUUGAGCAUGAAGAGAUUUUAUUAAUUUUUUAAUAUCAUACUAUUGCAAAUUUUCAUAGCAUGUAACCUCACUAGGAUAUUCUAUGGGGGUUUAUGUGGGAUAACUCUUAUAACUUUUUAAAGCAUAAUCUAAUUCGUGGGGCCAGGUAUCCUGAAUCCUACCUGUAGCAAUAUGAGUCUAAAUCUUUUCUAAGUAAGAGAGGAAGCUAACAGGACUUGGAAAGUAUUUUGAGAUAAAUGUUGGGGCUAUUAUUACUACCUUGAUAUGUGGCAGCUUGGAAAUGUCUCAAAAACAAAUCAAUUUAAUUGAAUUCAAUAAAGAUGUAUUCUGUACCUACCAAGGAGCAGGCUAUAUUGUAGAUCUGGGGGCUGCCACAGAGAUCAGGAGUUGCAAUGAAGUCAGUCAAUUGAAAUGGAAUAAUCCAAGGAUGUUCAAGUAAAACCAGCCUGAACACUGCUUAAUUUUUCUUUUUCUCUACAUUUUUAUGCUAUUCUUUUAUGAAGAUGAGCAUAACAUUGCCAAUUGAUGUGAGGAGAAAUAUAAAAGUUUUUAGGACCUUUUUGGGAAUGUCCAGGAAUGUAAUGGAAUGUCUCUGAAUUUUUCGUUCGAGUUUUAAGCAUAAAACUUUUAAUUUUCCCUGUGGAGGCUCCAUGCCACUUCUUAGCAGUGUGUCCUUGGGCAAGUCAUUUAACCUCUCUGUGCCUUCAUUGUCAGAAGGCUGUUAAAAUGAAGAAAAUAAAAGUAAAAUAAAUGAAGUAAAUAAAAGUAAAAAAAGGUUGUUGUGGGGAUUAAUUGAAUUAACAUUUGUAAAGCUUUCAGAACAUGCCUAACAUAUUCUAAAUGCUCUAUUACUUUUGAUAAAUAUACCUUAAAACUGUCUUUAUCCAAUUUUUGGUUUCAGUGUGUAUGGAAUGCUUACACGAUGGAAUCUUUGUCUAUGAUAUAGAACUCUUUCAGUGCCAGCUCAACUUCCAUUGUCCAGAAUGGCAACUCUGAAAGUUCUGGAAAGUGGAAUUUAAUGUGUACUGAAUACAGAACUCAACCCAGAUAUCAAGUUGUUUUGAGUGGAGAGACUGGAGGGGAGGGGAAAUGCCACAGACAAAACGUGUCUGGAUUUCAGGAAGACGUUUGAUAGGGUCUCUUGUGACGUCCUUGUGGGAACGAUGAAGAUAUACGAGCUGGGUGAGAGUUAAACUAGGAGGAUUCAUGGCCAGUUGGAAGGUGAUAUGAAAAGGGCACCAGGGAGCGAGGCUUCAGGGCUCCAUUGUGGACUCCACCUUUUCAACAUCUUCAUCUGAGUUUUGGAUGAUCUCAAAAGAGAGGAAAAAAUUAAGAAAUGAGAACAAACAAGA
rnacentral:lncRNA from 1 species